GGGGAUGUUGCUCAAUUGUAGAAUGCUUGUCUAACAUGCAUGAGGUUCUGGGUUCCAUUCCCAGCACUGCCA
rnacentral:tRNA from 1 species